rnacentral:rRNA from 1 species
UACGUAGGGUCCGAGCGUUGUCCGGAUUUAUUGGGCGUAAAGAGCGUGUAGGCGGUUUGGUAGGUCCGUUGUGAAAACUCGAGGCUCAACCUCGAGACGCCGAUGGAAACCAUCAGACUAGAGUCCGGAAGAGGAGAGUGGAAUUCCCGGUGUAGCGGUGAAAUGCGCAGAUAUCGGGAAGAACACCCGUGGCGAAGGCGGCUCUCUGGGACGGUACUGACGGCUGAGACGCGAAAGCGUGGGGAGCGAACAGG